rnacentral:rRNA from 1 species
UACGUAGGGCGCAAGCGUUGUCCGGAAUUAUUGGGCGUAAAGAGCUCGUAGGUGGCUUGUCGCGUCUGUCGUGAAAGCCCGGGGCUUAACUCCGGGUCUGCGGUGGAUACGGGCAGGCUAGAGGCAGGUAGGGGAGAAUGGAAUUCCCGGUGUAGCGGUGAAAUGCGUAGAUAUCGAGAGGAACACCGGUGGCGAAGGCGGCUUUCUGGACGGCGACUGACGCUGAGACGCGAAAGCGUGGGGAGCAAACAGG